rnacentral:rRNA from 1 species
UACGAAGGGGGCUAGCGUUGCUCGGAAUCACUGGGCGUAAAGGGUGCGUAGGCGGGUCUUUAAGUCAGGGGUGAAAUCCUGGAGCUCAACUCCAGAACUGCCUUUGAUACUGAGGAUCUUGAGUCCGGGAGAGGUGAGUGGAACUGCGAGUGUAGAGGUGAAAUUCGUAGAUAUUCGCAAGAACACCAGUGGCGAAGGCGACUCACUGGCCCGGUACUGACGCUGAGGCACGAAAGCGUGGGGAGCAAACAGG